AUAUGUGUCCGUACUAGCUGCUAGUUUUUAAUACGCAUCUGGCAGACGCUGGUUCAUACCUUUCUUGUUGUAUUUUCCCAAUGACGUGCUUCGAUAACUACUGGCGUCGAGUGAUCUGCAACUAGCUCUUUAAACGCCAUUACUUCAUCCUGAAUAAGACUCAAAAGAUUGGAGAUUUUCAUAAGAACGUAUUUUUUCUCAAGUUCUCUAAAGGAAUCAAAAAUUAAUUUCAAAUGUACUCAAACUUAGGAUGGUAGACUCGCAGAUGAAUCGGUUUAAUUAACUACUGGAUAGUUGCUGGCUCGUUUUUACUUACACUGGAAUUAUUCGGAUAAAUUGACAGAACUGAGCCAACAUGAAUCCGCCACCGAGCCCGAAUAGUCCGAAAACCACACACAAAUUCCUUCAAACUCUCCGGAAUUCGCCUUCACUAUUACGGAAACGAUUCAUGCAUUCCGACUCUGACUUAUACGGCGAAGGAGCAGCUGCAAAGGAGCGGUCAUUCCAUGUGCGUUACGGAGGACGCGUUCCGGUGCGGUCACUGCGGGUGUGUGACGCGGUUACCGCGGUCGACAAACUAGCGCCCUUGACCAACGCCAAACAACUCCAUCACCAACCAUUCCACGCAUCGUGUACAUUGCGCGUGGACAAAUGCACGAUCACGUUUGAGGACCAGUCCCGCGACGUGCUCGAGUCAUUACCGCUGUUUUGUAUCGCAUAUUGUGCAACAGAUCUCAGGCAUCCGCGCGCUGUGGCGCUUACGUCAAAGACAAACGAUUCGAUUCAUUGUUACGUAUUUGAAGUGACAACGCGCGAGAAGGCGUCGGAGAUCGUUAACACUGUGAGGAGUGCUUUCGAAGCUGCAUGGGAGGACUGGAAAAGAAGUCAUCCUGACGGCGGAGAUCCGAGAGAAAACCAGAUAAAACUUGUUCCUCCAAGUCAUGUGCCUCUUUGAAGAAAAAAAGGACAAGCAUCUCAAGCAACCAGGUGUGCUAUUUCUUAGCAGGAACUUUUCACUUUUUACCCCUCUGCUAUUGACGUUUGGCCUUGCUCAUUUUCGUGUUCCUAUUUAGUUAGGCAUAUGGUUUCAUAUAAAAAUGGUGAAUCACAACAAAAUUAAUGUUCUCUUUGAAAACAUUCAGAUGCGCAGACGACUACGCUCAAGUUAUCAUAUGAAUGGAAUUACAACUUUGAAAUGUCCUGCGGACAAUGUGAGGAUUUACGUCUUGAUCAUAAUUAUGUUGUAUGUGUGUGUGUGUGGGGGGGGGGGGUUAUUCCUAAACCACUUUGCAAAUUUGGUGCAUAUCAAAAGUGAUUUGUAGUUCUAUUGUUUUUAAUGGUGACUAGAACACCGUUUUAGCUGAUUCUGAGACAUCAAGUUACUUGUAGAAUUUUUUACAUUUGGCUUAAAAUGGAAGAAUAUAACUUUUUCAACCUCAUACCUAUAGUUAGAAAGCUUUCUUGAAAAGGGAGAAUUUGACGAAAUCUAGUAGUUUACUAAAUGCCAUUCUGUCCAUGAUUUACGAUUUAUUAUUCUUCGUCACCAUAAGCCACACAGCAUAGAUUUCAAAACAAUUAUUCACUGUACUAUUCAUAUUUAUUUCCAUAUACUAUUGUUUAUUUUUCCUUGAGCGCCAGUUUAUUGUUUAGUCUCACACUACCAAUCCAGACCUACGUCCAUAAAAAGGAUUUAAAAAACAAUUUUGUAAUUUGUACUUUAAAGUACUGGUAUUUAAUAAUUUAAUUUCAAAUGAACCAGCAUUUAUGACAAGGUCAAUAUUACUUUUUAAGCUGACUUAUUUCAAUAUAAAAUCACUACUUUUAAGAAUGUUAUUCAGCUGUGUUUGUUUUUAAUGAAAGUACUUUGAGUGAAGGCUUGAAAUUAUAAAAGAAUUUAAAAAUGCAUUUUUAACAUAUUGCAGAAAAAUAUGUAUGAGUUGUAUUAAGACUCUUGAUAAUAAAUUUAAAGCUGUUAUAAGUAUUGAAUAAUCAAUGGUUAUAUAUCAUAUUUCUGAUAUUACAAUAUGAAUACAGAAACUAAUAUCUAUUGUCUUCUUUUUCUUUUGAACUAGAUAUCACUUUUAUAUUAUGUUUGCACCAGAGUGACUUAUAUCCAUGCCACUGUCUCAUUGCAUAGGUGAGCCAGGUCAAAUCUAGGAUAAUAAAUUAGAUUGAAAAAGAGUAUGUACUUGA